UGCAGUCGGACGGGAUUCAGGACAGAGCUUGCUUUGUCCUGAUGAGAGUGGCGCACGGGUGCGUAACGCGUGAGCAACCUGCCCCUGUCAGGGGUAUAGCCCCUCGAAAGAGGGAUUAACACCGCAUAACGAUAUCCCCCGGCAUCGGGGGAUGUCCAAAUAUUCAUAGGACAGGGAUGGGCUCGCGUGGCAUUAGCUAGUUGGUUGGGUGACGGCUGACCAAGGCUACGAUGCCUAGGGGCUCUGAGAGGAGAAUCCCCCACACUGGUACUGAGACACGGACCAGACUCCUACGGGAGGCAGCAGUGAGGAACAUUGGGCAAUGGAGGCAACUCUGACCCAGCCAUGCCGCGUGCAGGAAGACGGUCCUAUGGAUUGUAAACUGCUUUUAUACGGGAAGAAACACUCCGACGUGUCGGAACUUGACGGUACCGUAAGAAUAAGGAUCGGCUAACUCCGUGCCAGCAGCCGCGGUAAUACGGAGGAUCCAAGCGUUAUCCGGAAUCAUUGGGUUUAAAGGGUCCGUAGGCGGCCUUAUAAGUCAGUGGUGAAAUCUCCUAGCUCAACUAGGAAACUGCCAUUGAUACUGUAGGGCUUGAAUUAUUGUGAAGUAACUAGAAUAUGUAGUGUAGCGGUGAAAUGCUUAGAUAUUACAUGGAAUACCAAUUGCGAAGGCAGGUUACUAACAAUCGAUUGACGCUGAUGGACGAAAGCGUGGGUAGCGAACAGGAUUAGAUACCCUGGUAGUCCACGCCGUAAACGAUGGAUACUAGCUGUUGGGAGCAAUCUCAGU
rnacentral:rRNA from 1 species